rnacentral:rRNA from 1 species
UUACCGGAGUACUAUGAAUAUUUAAACAUUUAAAACUUAAAGAACUUGGCGGUGUUUUAGACCACUUAGGGGAACCUGUCUCGUAAUCGACAAUCCGCGUUAAACCUGACCUUUUCUUGUUAUCAGUUUGUAUACCGUUGUCGUCAGGUAACUUUUUAGAAAUUAGAAGUUAGCGAUAAAAGCAAUUUAAUGACUUAGGACGUCAAAUCAAGGUGCAGCUAACGAAAAGGGGAGGAUGGGUUACAAUUAUUUGAUUUAUAAUAACGGACGAACAACAUGAAUAUGUUUCAAAUUAUAAGGUGGACUUGAAAGUAAACUAGAUUAUAUAGAUAGUUUGAAUAAGGCUCUGAAACGUGU